GUGAUUUCGGUUAACCGACUCACUGUAAAUAUGAAUAAUUUUUAAUUGCCAGGCCCCAAUUUAGUGUUAAUAUAAGCCUUGGGCAGAAUGUUAAAUAUGCCAACAAGCAAUUGAAACUCUUUCAAUCAACACAUAGAUGCCAUGGUCUACAGCAUCCACCUUCCUGUUAAAUAGUUGACAUAUCCCAUGAUGACAGCUGCCCGGAUAUAAAUAUGCACAUACAAUAAUUAUUUGAAGUCACCUUUUCAAUAAGUUAUUUAAAAAGUUUGACAAACACAUUUGGAAAAUAACUAGCUGGGUGCGUGUAAUUUAUUACAAUACAAUUCUUUAAAUAAAUUAUUCCAAUUUGUUUUAAUUCGAUUCGAGUAUCUUCUCAACGGAAAGUAGACCCAGUUUUGAAUUGUAUAUUAUCUUCUAUGGACUGUUGCUCAAGUGUACCAAUUUGCGACCAAAAUGUACAUCUCAAUUGGACCCACUGCAACUCGGAGGCAAGGAAGCGUCGCCAUCUAUAAAUGGAAUGCACAAACCCACACACACACACACACGCACACAUAGAAACAAACACACAAACAGAUGUAUCUCUAUAGUUACAUAUAUACUUGUCCAGUCAGAGACGCAAGCGCGGACAUACGAACAGUGAAAAAAUGAAACAAGAAACAUAAAUUCAAUAUGAACUUGUGAGGAGAGGAUACCAAAUCGGAGUCGAACUCAAAGCUGGACUUAGAGUCGGGCUCGCUCCACUUGUCGCCAUUGCUGCCACUGAGUCGGGAGCUGUUCGCAUCUCGCUGCUUAUUCGCCGUUGCCAUUCCUUUUAAUUUCAUUUAUUUUGCAAAAUACAAUUUAAUUUGAUGUGAAUGCUACUGACAACUGGCAGCGAAGACUACAGAAGCAAAAAAAAAAAACUGUCCAGCGACAAAAACGGCAAACAAGUAGUGGAGAUGCCGCUUCCUCUCUAUUGGCCCCAGUUGAGGCCUCCUUCCAUAAGGCAAAUAUUGAACUACAAUAAUCAUCAACAUCGAUAUCGACAACUGCAGAGCCGCCAUAUCAGCGAAAUCCCCGUCAUCGGUCGCCAUUUCGUGCCGCCGUUCUCAUCAUCAUCUCCCUCGUCAGCGUCGUCGUUGUCGUCGACGAUGGCUUCACUGUAGGCAGCAUAGGGUAGGCGGGGAGACAGCAGAAGACAAUCAAGCGCAAAACGAACGAGCAAUUGUGGCACACAGAUGAGCCGGGCCAAUGAUUGUCAUGAAGAUAACAAAAGUUGCCUUUUUGCAUACCAAACAUCGCCAGCAACAACUGCAACCGAGUAACCACGCAGCCAAACAGCAACAACAGCAACAACAACAUUCACCGCAGCAACAUGUUGCUCAAAACUAACAAAGUAUUGAUUGCGCCGAUUGCAAGUGGAUGUGGAUCACUCGUCGUUGUCGACGACAGCAACAUGGAUUGUCAUCCAACUUUAGCAGCAGCAACCAUCUGUUUAAUCUUCAGCUUCAGCCUCAUCCUCAUCCUGCGCAUGUAGCCAUACUCAUUUAGUUAUUGUUGUUUCUGCUGCUGCUGUCGAUGCGAAGAUCUUAAGAUACUUGGUUGAUGCCAACGACAUUUUCAUCCGCUUAUCAAACCUCAAACAAAUCAUUUUGUUGGCGGCCUUGUAGGCCACGCUACUUGAAUAAUGGGUUGAGGUCAAGAAAGCAGUAACACAGGAAAUCAAUAAAUGCUUGCAAAUUGUGAAUUAAAUGUGAAUUAAGGGCAAAAUUA